AUUGAACGCUGGCGGCAGGCUUAACACAUGCAAGUCGAGCGGGGAGAUGUAGCUUGCUACAUUUCCUAGCGGCGGACAGGUGAGUAAUGCUUAGGAAUCUGGCAUUUAGUGGGGGACAACAUUCCGAAAGGGAAGCUAAUACCGCAUACGACCUACGGGAGAAAGCAGCGGAUCUUCGCUCCUUGCGCCAAACGAUGAUGCUAAGUCGGAUUAGCCAGUUGGUGGGGUAAAGGCCUACCAAGGCGACGAUCUGUAGCGGGUCUGGGAGGAUGAGCCGCCACACUGGGACUGAGAAACGGCCCAGACCCCUACGGGGGGCAGAAGUGGGGAAUAUGGGACAAUGGGGGGAACCCUGAUCCAGCCAUGCCGCGUGUGUGAAGAAGGCCUUAUGGUUGUAAAGCACUUUAAGCGAGGAGGAGGCUCUUUUGGUUAAUACCCAAGAUGAGUGGACGUUACUCGCAGAAUAAGCACCGGCUAACUCUGUGCCAGCCGCCGCCGUAACAC
rnacentral:rRNA from 1 species